CUUGUCUUAGCUUCUCUACCUGCCCUGGGAGUGAACAGAAUUUCCAACCACUUCAAACUGCACUGCUGAAACUCCAAGGGCUACCCCUGCUCACACUCAGAGAGCCUGGUACAGGAGGGUAGCAGGAAUUGGUCUCUGAAAUAGGAAUACCAGGCUACUACUGUGGGUCAUUCACCGCUUCACAGGUAAAGUCCUGGGACUCUGUCCAUGUUUUCUACCUUCUUCCAUUCCAGCCAUCCCAGACUUCUGGUGUCCCACGGCAACACUCUGCGUUGCCAUAUUACCCUUGCUCUCUGUUUCAGUGUUUAUCUUAAAAUAAGAGGCAUUUUACUCUCAAAGCUGGUUUACAGAAUGUGCAACAAAACUGUGGAUGACGUUAGAAAUGCCUAGAGAGUCGUAAAGCUUCUCAAGUGCAAACCCCAGACAAAUCCAGGACAUGGAGAUAAUCCCAAGACUCCUGCCUCAAGCCAGCUCCCUUCUCCCACAGAAUACACUGUGGUCUGGAGUAAAAGGCACUUCAGUCCCUCCAUGACAUACCACAGCACUCACCAAUGUAGCCAGGGGGAUGGUAUCCUGAGGCUUCUGAGGGCAGCUGGGUGGUUUAGAGUUCCUACUCUGGGACCUCUAGAGAGGGGCUGGCGUCAUUGGGAGGACCAGCCACCUUGGCAUGAACCUUACCCAGCAUCAGAUGAACAAACAAGGCCUGGAAGAAACAGAGAAUUGGAGCAGCUGUACAGUGGAGAAGGACCUUUGAGAAAUGGAGAAAGAACAGAAUUAGCAAGAGACUUGUAGCACUAAGAUGUGGGCCAAGCAGCAACUGGACAAGGGGAUCUUCAGAGCUGUCCAAGUGCAAGAGUUGCCAGAGGGGGAUGCACGUCUUAAAGAGCAACUGCUUCAGUGUUUAAAUGAAAAGCACCGACAAAUAGGAGGCACAGGAUGACCCAGUAGUCCUUCUCUGGUGCUGGAAUUCUGUACAUCCUCUGGAGAGGCCCGGAGCCCUAUUUCAUGAUGGAAGUGAGGGAAUCAGCAGCAGCAACAGCAAUAAAACAAAUCUUCUCUGGAAAAUUCUGAGCAUCCAGCACUGUGCAGAAUAAGGAGACACUGUGCAAGCAAAAGAGACUGAGGGAGGCAAGAUGCAUGCAGGCACAUGCCACAGGAAUGUGGGCCUUCCUCCGGGCAAAUAUCUUGGUAAACCCUGAGCAGCAGGCUCUUCAGUGUGUCCUCAGCUUCUGAGGGACGUACUCAUCACCCCCACCCCUUUCCUCCACCCUUGGCUUCCAGGGAGUCCCUCAGCAUGGCGCCUUCUCUGACGCAGAUGUGCUUGGCUCUGAAGAGCACCACACACUCCCUGAAUUUUGACAACAAAGCUUUUGACUCAUUCCAGCCCUGUGCGUACUUGCAUUUGAACCAACAGGAGAGACCUGCCUGAGUAAGUUUUAUAAGGUUCUCACUAAGCCAUACUGUCUCCACCUCUCAACCCCCGAAUAUCUGCUGCAGAAAUGACACAUGAUAAGGCCACCCACCUAUUUUGUACAUCACUUAUUCUUCAAUGGACCAGAACAUAGAAUCCUGGCAUCUUGACAUUUCCAACCACAAACCCAAAGUCUGAAAGCAUUUACCCAGCUGUGUGACAACAGUAUUCAAGAACUUGUUUUUCCUAGUAGGAGAGACUCAGUUACUUCUACCCACAUUCACCUUUCUGUGUGGUGCGUUGGAAUGGCCAUGAAACCUUAGAGUCCUCCCCUAGGUGCUAUAGGAGGACUCCACCAAGCUCAGGACCACAACUCAAGUUUGUGGCUUUAUUUUUUAACUCUGAAGCCAUGCUUGAUUAAUCCAUGGGCCCCAAAGGCUGCUUUCCGGACUACACGUGGCAUAUCAGAUGUAGCUGUGUAAGGAAGAAAGCUCAGAGCUUUUCAGUGGGGUCUGCUCACUGUAGCUGAGGCUCUGCAGCUCAACAGAGCUACAAAAUCUGAAGGACCUGGAGCUCACAAGAGAUCUGAAGCUUGGAUGGGCCUGUGACUCCUGGUUGUCACAAUCCAAUGCAAGGCCAGCCUUUGUCCUAAUGACUGAAAGUUGGAGUAUAUAGAACCCCGGAAUCAUCAGAAGGGGUGCAAGAUUGCUCCCAGGAACCAGACAUACUUCUUUCUCCCACUGACUCCUCUUCACCAAGACAACCACAUUUUGUUCUUUCUUCUGCUUCCUCAUCCUCGGCAGAGCACACGCCUGAGCACUUUAUUUGGUACUCAUGUGUAUGAACCUGCUCUGUUCUUUAACGAUCUCAUCGACAAAAUGGGCAAUACAAUGGUGGAAUGGUCUUAAGCAAAAAUCUCCAUCUUAAAAAAAAUCCACAGGGUUGGGGAUUUAGCUCAGUGGUAGAGCGCUUGCCUAGCAAGCGCAAAGCCCUGGGUUCGGUCCCCAGCUCCGAAAAAAAAAAAAAAUCCACAAAGAUAUCUCCAAUGUUUGUGAUACGAAGCUAAAGUUGGAAAGAGUAAAAAUAUUUUGCUGGAAUAAGAGGCUAUGUGUGGGUACAGAGACGGAAGCUCACUCAGGAUGUCAGUGAGGACAAAGUGGCUGCUUCUACACAGUGCUCCACUGUAGCAACAGGACUUGAGUGUGGACAGUGAAGGGCGCUGCAGUUGCGUGGACGCAAGACUAGAAUCUUAAGGCAUACAGAGUGUUAUGCCGGAAGUUAUAGACCAGAAUUUUCUGUAAGUUUAUUUAUAAUGGGCAGGUUUUCAGUUGGAAACUACCGGUACGACUGACAUGCAUUUGUGGGACUCCUGUCAACCCUUUGAACUCGUGAUGUGCCUCAGGGCGAGGCAGACACACGGGGAGUUGAAUGGAGGUGAAAUGCACCUCUAAAACUUGGUGGAAUUAAGACAAAAGUCCUUACAGCUGCUUUGUGGGUGAAGAGUUUGAACUGGGAACUCAUUCUACUACUGUCAGGAUUAUUCAAUGGGAGGUCCUGGACCUCCUGACACCAUAUGCCUAGAGUUUGGAUGUCAGCGUGUGACUAGAAUGCUAGGGUCACCUGCCUUUCUCCAACAUCCUCAAGACAUCUCCAUGUGGUUCUUGCAACAAUGAAGUUGGACCCUUUCCAUUGGCAGCUUGGGGCCCAGAGAAGAAAGGCAGUGACUGCCAGCCCCCAAGGAGCCCAGCAUCACUUCCAACAUUGUCUGUCACUCCAAGUGGUCACAGGCUACCCACACUGAAGGGGAAAAGGAAAAGAUGGAUGCUAUUGAUCAGCAGCAGGGACACUACCGAAUUUGUAACCAUCCCCAGUCUGCUAUCAGGUUGUCUGUGCUGUGUAUUUUGACCACACCAGUAGAAAAGUAAUUUGGACACACACAGUGGUCCUGGUAUGAGAUUUUCUUCAGACUGACUCAUGCAGCUGUCACUUCUGGCUUCAAAUUUGGACAACUGCAGGUAACAUUUUGGAGAACUUAAAAAGAAGCCAUUGCUGUGCUCCAUUCCCUGCCACCCUCCAAAACAACUUCAGAAACUAUUUCAGACAUUUGUUGCAAGCAUAAUGGCUGGAAUACGACUUGUUCCCUACUGCCUGGAUUUCCAAGUUGGAUUCCACCACCCCUCUCAUUGGCACCCACUUUCUAGUUUUUAAAAUGGUAUUUCAGUGGCAGGAGCUGCUGAUUUGACCCAAAGGAUUAGGCUCCUCUGAGCAUAAUCAGAUUUUGUCAGAUGGUCGGACCUGGUUGCUGUGGGGAUGAAUAGCAAGGAUCAAAUCCCUCAUAUGACAAAAGAGAGGGUGUAGACUGAGCGGCUCUUCCCUCUGAACUCCUUUCUUCCUUAGAGCGAGCCUUGAGCCUGUUCACUGAGAAGCCGAGCGGGGAUACUUAGAGCUGACAGACAGGUCCCCUUCUUCUUGGCACCUGGGACCUAUAGAGAGGAGAAGCACGCUGGAACAACAAAACCACACGCCAUGAAUCAGAAGAGUAGCUCGCAGGGAGGCCAUGUGGACUGUGUGCCCUCUCCACAGGAUAAGGGUACCUCAACUCAUGGAAGAAUCUUUCCUGGGCACUCAGUUCCACACUGUAAAUAACAGGCGAUAGAGC
ensembl:lncRNA